rnacentral:rRNA from 1 species
GCACAUCGAUGAAGAACGCUGCGAACUGCGAUACGUAAUGCGAAUUGCAGAAUUCAGUGAGUCAUCGAAAUUUUGAACGCACAUUGCACUUUCGGGUUAUGCCUGGAAGUAUGCUUGUAUCAGUGUCCGUA